ACGCUGGCGGCGUGCAUUAUGCAUGCAAGUCGAACGGUCUUGGUCUUCGGACCAAGAUAGUGGCAAACGGGUGAGUAACACGUAGGUAACCUGCCCCUAAGUGUGGAAUAACUUCGGGAAACCGGAGCUAAUACCGCAUGUGGUGGUGGUGGUAAGGCGCCAUCACUAAAGCCUCCGGGCGCUUGGGGAGGGGCCUGCGUCCGAUUAGCUUGUUGGUGGGGUAAUGGCCUACCAAGGCGACGAUCGGUAGCUGGUCUGAGAGGAUGGUCAGCCACACUGGGACUGAGAUACGGCCCAGACUCCUACGGGAGGCAGCAGCAAGGAAUUUUGUGCAAUGGGCGAAAGCCUGACACAGCAACGCCGCGUGGGGGAUGAAGGCCCUCGGGUUGUAAACCCCUUUUCUCAGGGAAGAAUAAUGACGGUACCUGAGGAAUAAGCCUCGGCUAACUACGUGCCAGCAGCCGCGGUAAUACGUAGGAGGCAAGCGUUAUCCGGAUUUAUUGGGCGUAAAGCGGGCGCAGGCGGCCCUUCAAGUCGGAUGUGAAAUCUCCCGGCUCAACCGGGAGGGGUCAUCCGAUACUGCUGGGCUAGAGGGCAGCAGGGGGAGGUGGAAUUCCCGGUGUAGUGGUGAUAUGCGUAGAUAUCGGGAGGAACACCAGUGGCGAAGGCGGCCUCCCAGGCUGUUUCUGACGCUGAGGCCCUAAAGUGUGGGUAGCGAACAGGAUUAGAUACCCUGGUAGUCCAC
rnacentral:rRNA from 1 species